rnacentral:rRNA from 1 species
CUCCUACGGGAGGCAGCAGUGGGGAAUUUGGACAAUGGGGGCAACCCUGAUCCAGCAAUGCCGCGUGUGUGAAGAAGGCCUUCGGGUUGUAAAGCACUUUGUCCGGAAAGAAAUCCCUUGCUCUAAUAAAGCGGGGGGAUGACGGUACCGGAAGAAUAAGCACCGGCUAACUACGUGCCAGCAGCCGCGGUAAUACGUAGGGUGCGAGCGUUAAUCGGAAUUACUGGGGCGUAAAGCGUGCGCAGGCGGUUUUGUAAGACAGGCGUGAAAUCCCCGAGCUCAACUUGGGAAUGGCGCUUGUGACUGCAAGGCUAGAGUAUGUCAGAGGGGGGUAGAAUUCCACGUGUAGCAGUGAAAUGCGUAGAGAUGUGGAGGAAUACCGAUGGCGAAGGCAGCCCCCUGGGACGUCACUGACGCUCAUGCACGAAAGCGUGGGGAGCAAACAGGAUUAGAUACCCUGGUAGUCCACGCCCUAAACGAUGUCAACUAGUUGUUGGGGAUUCAUUUCUUCAGUAACGUAGCUAACGCGUGAAGUUGACCGCCUGGGGAGUACGGUCGCAAGAUUAAAACUCAAAGGAAUUGACGGGGACCCGCACAAGCGGUGGAUGAUGUGGAUUAAUUCGAUGCAACGCGAAAAACCUUACCUACCCUUGAC